CGCACGAUGGAGGGGCCGCCAGUCCUCCAGCCAGCAGCUGGGCGCGUUCCCUAGCUACCGCGCAGUCCCACAGCUGACACGCAGGCCGUGCACGCAGGAGGGCAGGACCCCAGCGCAGCACAGAUGAGGGCGGGCACUUGCUGGACGGGACAGGCCGGGCAGUGGGCGCUCGGAGGCCACAGACAUGCCGCAGCCCCAAGCCUUCGCCAGCGCCAGCCGCCACCUAGCAGGCCGGGCCCUUCCUCGCUGUCACCUCUGACCUAACCCGGCCUCUAAUGCCCAACGUGCCCUCCACUUCCUCGGUGAAGACCUUUCAGGCUUCUAAAGGCAUCGGUGACUGCCAGUGUCCCCUGGCUCAGAUCGGGGCUCGUUGGCAGCCUGCUCCCCUCCGGAAGCCACAAAAGCAGGGACUGCAGGGCCCGGGUUCAAUGGCUCACGCCUUCCUCUGCCAAUAAACGUUCAUAAUUGCCCGGGAAGCAGCAGUCUGUGCCCUCCAGCUCACCUUGAAAACAGAAGAACCUGCUUCCUCCUCGCAAGCCUGUAUUACCCCCAUGCUAUAGAUCUGGGUGACUCUUUGGGAAUUAGCAUUACUGUACUCCCUCCUUUUGUUUAUGUUAGAA